rnacentral:lncRNA from 1 species
CCGCGGCAUGCCGGGAAGCGCCACCGGCGCCCGGGAUUCGCUGACAGCAGCCGUGACAGCGCCCGCCCGCUCUGGCGUGGGGGGGCCGGAGCUGUCCCGUCGGGCGGGAGCUCCGGGCCGGCCCGUCCGCGCUCAGCCGCCGCGCUGAGCCGGCCCGUGUCCGGCCGGGGGUCUCUGCGAGCGCCGGCGUUAUCCCCGCGCCCUGAACAGCGGCCUCGGGCCGCGGCCCGGCCGGGGGCGCGCCUCGAGCGCCGGCAGGUCGGUGGCCGCUUUGUCCCGGAGCCGGUGGUGCUGGGGUGCCCGGCCCGUCCUGGCCAGCCCCGGUAUCGGCGGAGCCGAGGCCUCCCGGUGCCCCUCGCUGUCGGCCGUUCCGCGCCCGGUCCGGGCCAUGGGGCAUCAGCCCGGUCCGGCAGGGCUCGGCCGGAGCCGCAUCCUCCCGAGAGGGAUUUGCUCUGGUUAAAGCACACGGGCGGCUCGCCCGCGCUGCCUCUGGGGCUCCUGCCGUCCCGCCGCGCCUGUGGCUGCGCGGGGCCCCGGAGAGGCACCGGCUCACGGGCUCACUGCGGCUGCGGACCUUGGCUUCCAGUUCGCGCUGAGCUCCGCACCGAAGCCCAGAGCACAGAGAUGCCAAAGGCUGGCACGUGGCAAGAGGGGAUCGAGUGCUUUUAUCUGCAAGUUGGGGUUUUUUUUCUUUGAGUUUUUUAAAUGUGAAAUGAAAGAAUGAAGGUGCUGAAGUGCGUUGAAGUUAUGGGACAAACCCAGGAAUCAAACAGGACUUGGUAUUUUACCGGAUAGAGAGGUAUUUUCUCUCCGGACAAAGCGGUGAGGGAAGAAAAAGGAGGCAAUUAACGCUACGUGUUAAUUCAAUGUAAUUUAUACCGAUAGUGUGAAGUCCGUUUUUGUUCAACCUGAUGUUUUAAAGUAACUUGUUAAUUAACUAGGGAUAAGUUACUCUAUGUAUCAAAGGAAUGACAAAUAAUAAAUCAGUCUAAGUGAGUUUAGUAAAU